CGCGGCGCCGCCCCCGCCGGCCCCCGCCCCGCGCUCGCCCAUUGGCUCCGCCGGGCCCGGAGCCGCCUCCGGGGCCCCGGCGCCGCCGCCGACCCCCUCUGCGCUUUGUCUUUCCCUCGCUCUGCGUCCCCUGCCUUUGUCUGCCCCCCCGCCCCGACCCCGCGCUACGGGCACUAGCACCAUCUCCGCAGGCCCCGCGCUCGCCCGCCUCGGGAAGCCGGCAGCCCCGCUCCGGACCGAAAGGGACCGGAGCCGGAGGGUACCGCGCGCCUCAGGGCGAGGACGAGUUCAGGUUGUGACGCCUGGGGUCCCGGGACAAAUGGCGCUCCCGGCGACGCCCCUGCGGCGGGAAAGGAUCACUGGGGUGCCUCUGGGCCUUUCACUGCCUCAGUUUCCCCAGCUGGCCCUCGUUUUCGCCCGGAGCUCCGCGUGCCCCGAGGUUUGACAGACCUCGCGGGGGCGGCCCCGUCCGGGAUCCCACGCCCCCUCCGGCCGCGGAGUCCUCCCGCCGCCAGAGGCCGCUCCCGCUCGGCCGCCCCAGAAAGAUGGCAGCGGCGGCCGGCACGCGGUCACGCCACGAGGCUGCGAGGCCCGGCGUCCCUGUGUUCUGUCACCUUGGGCCGCCGGAUCACCGCGCGCCGGUCUGCACGACGGGUCCGAAAGGACCACUGCCCCUCAGUGCCUUCUCCUGCGGCCCCACAGACAAGGGCCCCGGGAGGCACCAAGGCCCGCCGCCCUAAAGCGUUUCUGUGGCCGGUUUUUGUGGCCUUAGUCACCCCCCCGCCCCCAGUUCCUGCAGCCGGGCACGGUUGCCUGCGAGAAAUCGAGGGCACUCCCUUCGGGGAAAGAGAUUUCCAUCCUUCAAACAAGCAAAACUCGGCGCACCCUAACACCCUUUAACACAAGGGAGAGAGGCCUGAAGAUCCGAAGUGCCUAGUUCCAAGUAACAAAGCUAGAGAGGCAGGGCUGGCGCCAUUAAACAGGCCCCCCGCCCCUGGCUCCUUACUUCCUGCCCCUCUGGCCCAGCGGCUGCCAUGGCUCCAGCACACCGCACUACAGGAGGCAGGUGACGGUCACCCACUGGUGGGGGAGAGCCUCAGCUGUGCCGUGCACGUGGGGCAGCGGCUUCCUGGAGGGACCUCUGCUGGGAGACCCGGGUCUCCUUAGCUCCAGGGACUGCUAGGCUCUGCCUGACGUCUGGCUGGAAGCUGUUCCACCAAACACAGCCCUAAACAUAGCUCGUUCCCACACUGUGGCAGGAAUAGAACCAGUGGCUCCAGAGCACGGCCCCCACGUGCAUCAGGGAACAGAACAACUCAGCGCCUCUGUGCCUGGCAGGGGAGGGCCAGAGGGAGGCUGCAGGCUUCCCCAGCCCCCAGCUGUUCCUUUGGCUCCCUCAGGGCUCGCAGUUGCGCUUGGCUUUUUCUCCCCAGCCUCCUGCCCCUCUCUAGAGGAAGACUUAUGUUUGGGUGGAGCUGCAGGCCCAGGUACGCCGUGGCUGGGGUGUGUGUGCGGCACUUCUAACAUUGUGUUUCUGUGCCUCUUUCCCGGCAGUGUGCACAGCGGUCACCAGAUUCUCAAAGGUAGCUGCAGUGGGGCAGGACUGUGUGGCCCUCACCGGCACCAGGAGCACCAGGAGCAGCCAGCGGCUCGCACUGUCUUGCCACCUGUGCCGGGAGGCCCCCUCCCCUGCCCAGGAUGGGUCUGCAGGGGCAACUGUGGGCAGCCACCUCAGAAGCAGCAGCUUGCAUGCCAAGGAGGAACGGACAACAAGUUCCUUCUCAGCCAACCAUUCAAACUGACUAUGGCCCAGGACAUCAGAAGCAUACAAGCCAAAAAGAAAAAACUACAAAAGAGCUUCUCCUGGUAACAUGAUCUCUUUCCCCAUACUUGGAAGGCGAAAGCAAAGGAGACCCCCCAAAGGCUGUUUUGUCACCCUGACUCCUGCUAACUAGCUGACAGUCUCUGGCACACAUUCAUCGAGGGUGUAGAGGAGAUCGUGGCAGUGCCCUGGAGCCUGAGAAUGGCAGUCCCUGGACUUUACCUAUGACGACGACCAGAGAAAACGAAGAAAACAGAGAAUCCUAAGAAGAGCUCAAUAAAUAGUUAAGGUUUCUAUUCUGGAAAAAUAUCUAACUGAUGGUACAGGGAAUGUUUUUUGGUCUCCCGAAUGGAACAUAUUUGGAUCUGAUGGAGAGGUGCCCCUGACUAGCAGACUACAUAAGCACAACCAAAGCUUCACUCAGAGAGAAAUUCCUAGUCAACGUCACUGUCCUUCCGCUGUGGGGCUGCCUGCAAAAGGGGCAGAUGCCUGUCAUCUGAAAAGACUAAGAAGUCUACUUAGAAAAGGGUUCUUGG